UACGUAGGGGGCAAGCGUUGUCCGGAAUCAUUGGGCGUAAAGCGCGUGUAGGCGGCCUUGUAAGUCCGUUCUGAAAGUCCGGGGCUCAACCCCGGGAGGCGGAUGGAUACUGCAAGGCUCGAGUCCGGAAGAGGCAAGUGGAAUUCCCGGUGUAGCGGUGAAAUGCGCAGAUAUCGGGAGGAACACCAAUGGCGAAGGCAGCUUGCUGGGACGGUACUGACGCUGAUGCGCGAAAGCGUGGGGAGCAAACAGG
rnacentral:rRNA from 1 species